CACUGAGGACCACAUAAUAGAGAUAGACAGCAGCUUGAGCUGGCCGCCGGGGGUGCAAGGCGGAGGCGAGGCUCAUCGACUCAGUCGCGUAUGCGGCUUGCGCUGGGGACGCAGUCGCAAGAACUAGCAGCACGCAGCAACCAAGCACAACAUCCAUCUAGUGCACAGGUUGGGCUCAGCUAGGCGGAGGCGUGCGGCAGGUUCACCGUCGAGGGCAGCAGCCAGGGCCAUUGAUUUGGAAGACAAUGCCAUCGAAAGGCUCUUCUCAGAUGACUAUGGCAAAUCAACGCAAUUUGUCCGAUCGACGAGGCCAGCAACCUCUACCACAGAUUUAUGUUGAUGUUGACAGUGAGCAUGGGACUGCAGAGCGUCAAGAAAUAGGGACGACAAAGAGAGCCAAAUAGAGUCACCAGAUGAAGCUGUUCCUUAUUGAACUCCUAACAGAUCAUGACGUGCCAGGUUUUCGAACACAAAAUGCUUGGAAUAAGGAAGCAUGGACAAAUAUUGUUUGCCGCCUGAAUACAAAGUUUAGUACAUCAUUUACGACCAACCAAGUCAAGCAAAAGGAGCAGGAUUUGUAGAAGGAUUAUCGCAGUGUUAAAGAUUUGUUGGAUCAAAGUGGUUUUGGAUGGGAUAGUGACAGAAUGAUGGUGAGUGCACCACAAAGUGUUUGGGACACUUUUGCUGAUCGCAAGAACAAAGAUGCAAUUCAUUGGCGAGAUAAGUCCUUCCCAUAUUUUGAUAAUUUAGCUCCACUUUAUGAUGAUUCGGACCCCGCCGAAGAGCCGGUUUACUUCGAGAUCG